UUUCCCUCAGGAUAGCUGGAGCUCGGAAACGAGUUCUAUCGGGUAAAGCCAAUGAUUAGAGGCAUCGGGGACGCAAUGUCCUCGACCUAUUCUCAAACUUUAAAUAGGUAGGACGGGGUGGCUGCUUUGAGUAAAUUCGAAGACCAUAUGUGUUCGGUUGUACAGAGAUACGGUUCAGAUUGGUGACGUUCCAAAAGUCUUUUGGAGUACCUCCCACAGAUGUUUUGGAGUCUUGCAGUAGCUGUAGCCUCCAAGAGAUGUUCUUCAAGGGAUCCUUGCAGCACUGAAAGCACCA
rnacentral:rRNA from 1 species